rnacentral:rRNA from 1 species
UGCAGUCGAACGGACCUUCCUUAUGCCUCUUAACAGACUGCUUAGUGGCUAACCGGUGGCCAUCUGCCUUCUCCAUCGCGCCUACAUCCCGUGAUGAUCGCUCAUACUGUUUGGGGUGUCGAGCUCUGGAUAAUGUCAAACUGGUGAGUAACUCUGAAUAUGUCUGCCUUCUAAUGGGGAUGCAUCUGAAAAGGGGUGCUAAUGCCUAAUGUUCCACUUGGCUUCAUGGACUAGCUACUCUGAGAGGACUCUGAAUAUGCUACCGACUGAAAAUGAGCCUGCAUCUGAUUAGCUAGUUGGAGGGGUAACGGCCCACCAAGGCUUCGAUCCUGACCGGUCUGACAGGAUGAACGGCCAAGGUGGUACUGACACACAGCUCUUACUCCUACGGCAAGCAUGCUCGUUGAAUCUUCCGCAGAGUAAUGACGGCUGACAGAUCAACACCCCGUGAUUGAAGAAUGUUUUCGGAUCCGAAAGUUCUUUCGUGGCGGACGAACUCGCUCUUUGUUGAUAAUGAAGAGUAAUGACGGUACCUAUCUAGUAUGUCUUAGCUAAGUACGGGUCAACCUCCUGAGGAAUACGUAAGUGGUAAUCUUGAUCGUGAAAUAUUG